UACGUAGGGAGCAAGCGUUGUCCGGAAUCAUUGGGCGUAAAGCGCGCGUAGGCGGCCCUGUAAGUCCGUUGUGAAAGUCAAAGGCUCAACCUUUGAAAGCCGAUGGAUACUGCAGGGCUAGAGUCCGGAAGAGGCGAGUGGAAUUCCUGGUGUAGCGGUGGAAUGCGCAGAUAUCAGGAAGAACACCCGUGGCGAAGGCGGUUCUCUGGGACGGUACUGACGCUGAGACGCGAAAGCGUGGGGAGCGAACAGG
rnacentral:rRNA from 1 species